rnacentral:sRNA from 1 species
AUAAGAUUUCUGAGAUAAUGUUAACAAGCUGCUGAAAAAUUAGGGUUACAGAGGUUGAAGACGAUUGUAAAAUUACAAUUAUACCCUUUAUUAAAUUUCUUAUGUGUACGUAUUUAUUAUUUACAGUGUACGUACAUGUAGACAUGUAAAUAUGUUAGAUUAUGUUUUAUUUUAAAAGCGGCAUAUAAAAUUAUUUAUUGAGUUUGUACAUUAGAAAUCUUUGGUUAUUUUGUUUAGAUGUGAUAUUUUUUGGGGUUUUCC